GGGGAUUUAGCUCAGUGGUAGAGCGCUUGCCUAGCAAGCACAAGGCCCGGGGUUCGGUCCCCAGCUCCG
rnacentral:tRNA from 1 species